GGAGGGUGCGAGCGUUAAUCGGAAUUACUGGGGCGUAAAGCGCACGUAGGCGGCAGCGUCAGUCGGAUGUGAAAGCCCCCGGGGCUCAACCUGGGGAAUUGCAUUCGAUACUGCGCAGCUCGAGUAUGGGAGAGGGAAGUGGAAUUUCCGGUGUAGCGGUGAAAUGCGUAGAUAUCGGAAGGAACACUAGUGGCGAAGGCGACUUCCUGGCCCAAUACUGACGCUCAGGUGCGAAAGCGUGGGGAGCAAACAGGAUUAGAUACCCUGGUAGUCCACGCUGUAAACGAUGAGAACUAGAUGUUGGGAGGAUUUGCCUCUCAGUGUCGCAGCUAACGCAUUAAGUUCUCCGCCUGGGGAGUACGGCCGCAAGGUUG
rnacentral:rRNA from 1 species